GAUGUACCCAAAUAUUUCCACUUCCACCUGCCAAAGUUGUUUAGAUGUUGUGGGAAGUAUGUGGAGAUGCUGUGGUAUUCACAACAGCGGGAUCCAACCUAUACUUGUAUUGUCUUGGUGUUGGUCCUCAAGGAUAGCUAUGCUUGCAGGGAUAUGGUUUUUAUGGCAGGAAAGGAACAAUCAGUGUUUUAGGAAUCGUUUGGGGCAAUUAGAGGAGGUUUUUCAUAGAGCGAAGCUGCCUGUGAUAGAAUGGGCAGUGGUCUCAAAGGCUGUUGAUCGAUUUCCUGGUAGCUGGGCUGAGCUAUAAUGGCUCUUGGGUUUGUUGUAUAGUUUCAUUUUUUGUAUAUUCUGGCUGCUGCCUUUCUCUUAAUAAAAUUUGACUUCAAUGUUAAAAAGUAAAAAGAAAAAGAAAAAGACAAAUGUAGGUCCUCGUCUACUUCUAGCCUGUCCGUUAGAAUUGAUAUUCUUGUCGCUAUUUACGUUGAUUAACAUCACAAGAACUAGGCUUAAGAGUAUCAUUGUCGCAGGAUCACAAGAACCGGGCUUAGGAGUAUCAUUGGCACAGGGGUCCCAUACAUCAGUAGGUCACUGAACUCUCACUGGAAGCGUACCUUGGAUCCCCAACUUCACAAGUUAACAAAGCUCAGUUUAAUGAUACUGAUGCUAACACGAUUGGCAAAUACUCCGCCUAGAAAAAAAAAAAAAAAAAACAGAUAUGCAUCUAGGUUUUGAGAAGAUGCCGUCACAGUUCUGUUUUUCAUGCCCAGAAGCUUUAUAUUUGACAGAACAACAUUUUAUUGAAAAAUCUCCUUUUGCAAUACUGGUGUAAUCUCUCCUAACAGCAUGAGAAUUCCAUCUUUGUAUUCUUCCAUCAUGGUUUUGGUAUCAUGAGUCGGGUCUGAUUAAGUAAUGA